AGUUAAGUGAAAAAAAUCGUCUGCCAUCGGUCCAGGGGAUCUACGUGUACAAAGUAUAAUGUCUUUGCCGAUUAUUCUAGAAUGUUCUGCACGGCAGUAAUGUAACAAGCGUCGCCGCCCUACACACAAUGCACCUGCGGACGCUGAAGGGGGUGGCGACGAUGACGCCAGGCCCGAAAACGCAGAAGCUGCGCCUGCAUUCAAUGCAGGCGGGGAUAAUGGCGGAGAAGUAAAUCCUGCACUUCUGACGAUAAAUCGUUGGCUCAGGCACGUCCCGCCCGAAGAGAUGGCGAGGAUGGAGCAUCACUUGCUGGAAGCGUCAGGGGAUGCUAUUUCAGUCUACAUCCCACAAUAAAGCCGUCGCCCUGCCUACAAUGCACCGGCAGACGCUGAAGCGGGUGGCGACGAUGACGCCAGGCCCGAAAACGCAGAAGCUGCGCCUGCGUUCGAUGAUCAGGUGAUAAUGAAGGGGAGAUAAAUCCUGCACUGUUGACAAUUAAUGGUUGGCUCAGGCACGUCCCGCCCGAAGAGAUGGCGAGGAUAGAACACAACUUGUUGCAGGCGUCGUGGAAUGCCAUUUCGGUGUACAUCCCAGAAUAAAGCGUGCUCCAGUCAUGUCAGACCGCCAUCUCAUCAAGGGGCAGGACGGGGCAACGUUUGUGUGGAGGAUGGAUCCACUUUCCACCAACAAGGCUGGAGGCUUUGUUUUUUGUUUUGUUUUUUUUAUUCACAUUCAUCUGCUUGCUAUGGUAUAAACAUUGCAGAAAGCUCCAUUUGAUCUUAGUGUGACAUUGAUAAUGUUGAUCCUGAGGACUAAUUUAAAAAAAUUAUAAGAGACCAUGAAGUUGCAUGUUUGAUAAAAGUGUUCAGAUCAAAAUACAACACCCAUCAUGCUUU